CCUACGGGUGGCAGCAGUGAGGAAUAUUGGUCAAUGGGCGUAAGCCUGAACCAGCCAAGUCGCAUGAAGGAUGACGGUUCUACGGAUUGUAAACCUCUUUUAUAAGGGAAUAAAGUGCGGCACGUGUGCCUUUUUGUAUGUACUUUAUGAAUAAGGAUCGGCUAACUCCGUGCCAGCAGCCGCGGUAAUACGGAGGAUCCGAGCGUUAUCCGGAUUUAUUGGGUUUAAAGGGUGCGUAGACGGCUUGUUAAGUCAGCGGUGAAAGUUUGCGGCUCAACCAUAGAAUUGCCGUUGAUACUGGGAGGCUUGAGUAUGUUUGAGGCAGGCGGAAUGCGUGGUGUAGCGGUGAAAUGCUUAGAUAUCACGCAGAACCCCGAUUGCGAAGGCAGCUUACCAAGCCAUGACUGACACUGAUGCACGAAAGUGUGGGGAUCAAACAGGAUUAGAUACCCGAGUAGUC
rnacentral:rRNA from 1 species